rnacentral:rRNA from 1 species
UAAGCGGAGGAAAGAAACCAACCGGGAUUGCCUUAGUAACGGCGAGUGAAGCGGCAAAAGCUCAAAUUUGAAAUCUGGUACCUUCGGUGCCCGAGUUGUAAUUUGGAGAGGGCAACUUUGGGGCCGUUCCUUGUCUAUGUUCCUUGGAACAGGACGUCAUAGAGGGUGAGAAUCCCGUGUGGCGAGGAGUGCGGUUCUUUGUAAAGUGCCUUCGAAGAGUCGAGUUGUUUGGGAAUGCAGCUCUAAGUGGGUGGUAAAUUCCAUCUAAAGCUAAAUAUUGGCGAGAGACCGAUAGCGAACAAGUACAGUGAUGGAAAGAUGAAAAGAACUUUGAAAAGAGAGUGAAAAAGUACGUGAAAUUGUUGAAAGGGAAGGGCAUUUGAUCAGACAUGGUGUUUUGUGCCCUCUGCUCCUUGUGGGUAGGGGAAUCUCGCAUUUCACUGGGCCAGCAUCAGUUUUGGUGGCAGGAUAAAUCCAUAGGAAUGUAGCUUGCCUCGGUAAGUAUUAUAGCCUGUGGGAAUACUGCCAGCUGGGACUGAGGACUGCGACGUAAGUCAAGGAUGCUGGCAUAAUGGUUAUAUGCCGCCCGUCUUGAAACACGGAC